rnacentral:rRNA from 1 species
UGGGGAAUUUUGGACAAUGGGCGCAAGCCUGAUCCAGCCAUGCCGCGUGUGGGAAGAAGGCCUUCGGGUUGUAAACCACUUUUGUCAGGGAAGAAACGGCCUAAUCUAAUACAUUGGGUUAAUGACGGUACCUGAAGAAUAAGCACCGGCUAACUACGUGCCAGCAGCCGCGGUAAUACGUAGGGUGCGAGCGUUAAUCGGAAUUACUGGGCGUAAAGCGUGCGCAGGCGGCUUUGCAAGACAGAUGUGAAAUCCCCGGGCUCAACCUGGGAACUGCAUUUGUGACUGCAAGGCUAGAGUACGGUAGAGGGGGAUGGAAUUCCGCGUGUAGCAGUGAAAUGCGUAGAUAU